rnacentral:rRNA from 1 species
AUUAACGCUAGCGGCAGGCAUAAUACAUGCAAGUUGAACGGCAGCACAGGUAGCAAUACUGGGUGGCGAGUGGCGCACGGGUGCGUAACACGUAUGCAACCUACCCUAUACAGGCGAAUAACCUUUAGAAAUGAGGGCUAAUACGCCGUAGUAUUACAGAUGGGCAUCUAUUUAUAAUUAAAGAUUUAUCGGUAUAGGAUGGGCAUGCGUCCCAUUAGUUAGUUGGUAAGGUAACGGCUUACCAAGACGAUGAUGGGUAGGGG